GGUGAUGGUUAUACGGUCAAGAUUUGGCUCUAUAAAGGAACAAAUCAGCACAGCGCUAUUUCUGACUGCUUGAAGCUCCAUUUUCCAGGAAUCCAAUUUAAGGGACAGCGCCUUAAUUUAUUAGAAUAUCAUGUGCCAAAAAGGUGGGGAUGCUUAGCCGACCUGUUCAAAGUUCUAGAAAAUAAUAAGACCUUCUUGAAUAUCAAGCAUUACUCCAUUAACCAAACCACUUUGGAGCAGGUAUUUAUUAAUUUUGCUACUGAGCUGCAGCACACUCCACAAUCUACUCUCAAUCCGUCCGCUGACUGUCAUCACCCACAUCACCUACCCAUAUAAGCACUAGAGAAGAAAUUUCAUGAGGAAUGAC